AACGUAGGACACAAGCGUUAUCCGGAGUUACUGGGCGUAAAGGGCGUGUAGGCGGCUCGGUAAGUCUACUCUGAAAGCUCCUGGCUAAACUGGGAGAGGCGAGUGGAGACUGUCGGUCUAGAGUGAGGAAGAGGAAAGUGGAAUUCCGCGUGUAGUGGUGAAAUGCGUAGAGAUGCGGAGGAACACCAGUGGCGAAGGCGACUACCUGGCCUGUUCUUGACGCUGAGGCGCGAAAGCUAGGGGAGCAAACGGG
rnacentral:rRNA from 1 species